rnacentral:snRNA from 1 species
AUAUUACGUAUUUCUAAUAAAAAAUAUCUGUUCCUAUCAGCUUAAUAUCUGAUAUGUUAGGCAAUGCCUAACUCAUAUAUUAAACUGAUUUUUGGACUUCGGCCAUGGGAUUGAAGCUUGCUUCGCCCUGGCCACGGGUUGUCUCGGUAUUGCACUACAUCCGAGUACGGCC